UACGUAGGCAGCGAGCGUUGUUCGGAGUUACUGGGCGUAAAGAGUGCGUAGGCGGUUUUCUAAGUUUGGUGUGAAAUCUCCCGCUUAACUGGGAGGGUGCGCCGAAAACUGGAAGGCUUGAGUAUGGAAGAGGUGAGUGGAAUUCCGAGUGUAGAGGUGAAAAUUCGUAGAUAUUCGGAGGAACACCAGUGGCGAAGGCGCUCACUGGUCCAUUACUGACGCUGGAGGUGACGAAGGCAGUGGGAGCAAACAGG
rnacentral:rRNA from 1 species